GGACAAUAGAAGUGAUCAGAAACAAGAAAAUGCUGCUAAAGCGUGUUAAAGAUGUCAAAAAAGAUAUUUGUUGUAAAUAAUUAAUAAGAAAAUAAAACACAAUUUGAUUUAAGAAUGAAUUUGCUGAGGGGAAGUCGCGGCACACCGCUAUGAUUUCACAUGGUAAUAGAGGGCCUUAUCCAAUAAGGACAUUUGUGAAGCCG
rnacentral:misc_RNA from 1 species